rnacentral:lncRNA from 1 species
AUCAAUCUGCUUUUCUACUGUUCAUCCACAUGGUUGAUUUUCUUCACAGAUUCACAGCAUACGUGUGUUUGUGUUUUAGGAGUGUCUGCAUAUAUGUGGGGGGUGGUGUUGAUAUGUAGAAGUUUUUUUAACCUUUGCUUUUUGUCAACAGUCCGAGUUUGUGUCUACCAAGCCUUCUUUUUACUAUUUUAAGCUAAUUAGGUUUGUGUUUCUCUCACCCAUGUAUACUUUACAUCAGAGACAAUGUAAAGUAUGUUUGUGCCCAUGAUGUCACUGGUUGCUUGCGGCUUCAUGUGGGUGCUAGGUGUUGUUUCAGUCCACGUGGGUUUUUUUUUUUCCUCUCUUUUAAUAGUUAUUCAAUCUCAUGUAAGCAGUUAAUGCAAAUAUUGUUAGCAUUACAGGUCAUGCAGUGCUGUAACAUUUUUUUAAAUGUUGCACCUACUUUACAAUUAAAACAUUGGUCACUCAUACUUGAAUUUUGCCCACACAGCCAUUUCUUUAUCUUUGUAUUAAAGCCAAUUCAUUUUUUUUAAAUGAAGCCUAGCCCUUUGACCUUAGUACAUUUUUUAUUUCCGAAAAUAAACUUUUUUUCAACCAAUCUGAGAAUGGAAACAGAAAGAAAAGUUUUUGCACCUUUAGAAACGUAAUAGUCCCUCUUGGAAAAGGAAAUCUAAUUUUGCUUUGAGCCCUUUAAAAGUUUUAGGAAGCACAAGGAGAAUAAACUACACUUUUCAGUGGUUUUUAAAGAUUAUUUCAAAUGUGUGAGACCUAAUUGAGCAACUUUUGUUUAAUUUGUCUUGUUUGUAGCAUUAAAAGCAAUCGGUUUUUAUUUAUUUAGAGGGACAUUUUUGGCUUGUACUUUUCAGUCUCAUUGUGCAUGUAAAUUCUUUGAGAAGAAUACUCAUCCCUUGUGAUGUCAUGGGCCACUUUUAGUCUUUCAUUUGAACCCUGACUUUGAGUUAUUUGCUAUGUCUGUGUUCUAAGUAAACACAGUUUCUUUUUUUGAACAUAACACUGCAGAAUGUGGGGAGAAGUAGAGGGUGGUUAUUCUGCUUUCUGUAAGUUUUAUGAAGAUUCUCAGCUGACUUAUCCCAUGAGGUGAUUCUUUUUUCAUUUCAGACCACAGUAACACGUUUUCGUUAACUUUGGUGAUCUUCCAUGCAGUUUGCAAUGUGCCCUUGUAAGCCACAAGUGGUUUUGCAUUGAUAUUUUUAAAUCUAAAAUAUUAAGAUGCUGGUGACAUUGCUCUUUCUGUAAAGAAAGCCAAGAUUCUAGACCUUACCAAAAAUCUGAUAUCCUGUUCGUUUUGCCCAUUUAUGCCCAAAUGGUGUAAUGCAAGACUCAAGACUUUUCAAUGUAAUGUAUAAAAUGAGUUGUGCAUUACUUGAUUCAUUUGGGGACCAGAAGCAAAUAAUAUCAAUCAGCCAGAACUGUAAUAUUGAAUUAGUCUAUCUUUUUCUUUCAUUCACUCUAUCACAUUUGCAUUAGCCAAAGAGAUAAGAACAUUAGUAAUUCAUAUGUGUAAACAACCCAGAAGUGAAUAUUCAAUCAGUGAGCCAAAAAGCAAUAAACAACUCAAGCAUGGGAAAUCCUGCUAACAGUGGGAAGUCUGAUAUAGAAAAAAAUAUAUAAAAAGCAUUAUCUUCAAAUAUGAAAGAUUAACUUGUAUCUACUGUAAAUAUGUAUUAUCAGCCUUAUCUGCUUUUAUACACACUGUGUGUGUACUGCAGUGACCUUUUAUAAACCGAAAAAAUGGUUGAUUUAAUAAUUUGUUAUGUAAAUACAAAGUUGUCUAUAAAUUGGAAAAUUUGAUGCCAGAUGGCUUCACAAUAUACAAAUGUGUUUUGUAACAUCAUGCCUUUAUGGAUUAAGUCUAAAUACACUGGAUUGUCUGUGUAGAAGAGUAGCAAUCUACAUUUCACCUGCAUAUCAAAUGGAUAUUUUUGUCCAAAUGGUUAUACUUUAGGAAAAGAAAAUGACCUGAACAUUUUCAGUGUGAAACAAAUAUGGUUUUGAAUUCACCAAAACUUCUUUUCAUGUUCAAGAGUCUGUUCAGUUCCACACUAAAUGACUCGUAUUAAGAGAUUUCCAUAGCAGAUUCAUGGGUUUGGGGCUGGGAUCUGCCUAGGAAGCCUCCCCAAACUGAAAUAUUCUAUUGUAGAGAUAGGUUGUGCAUCUUAAUUUCUAAAUCACAGGCAGGGGAAGAACCACAGUCUUCUUAUUGCUUUUUAAUUUAUUCUUCUCUUCUUUGUUUCCAUACAUCAUGGAAAACACCACACAGGCAAAUAUCUCUGGGGGUGUGAGGUGGGGCGGGGGUGGGAGACAAAGUGAUAUUUGAAAACCACUGCAUUAGUAGAAUCAGUGAUGGAACAUAUGUCUGGGUGAAAUGUAGACAUGUUUGGCAUGCUGUUAGCAACAGGAAACUGAUUCCUAGAUCAAAGUCUGAAACAAAACCCAUGCCAAAGGAGUGCUUCUCAGUCCCUGGUUAAGGAAGUGAAUACAUUGGCUUCAGUUCCAUUUUGGACACAUUUGUCACUUUUGAUCAUAAGACUGACCCAGGACAAACAUCUUUGGAGAACUCCCAGGUAGGGCGAAGAAGAAUUACUGCCAUCCUGUGGUUGGGAGUUUGGGAGAAGACUGAUGGCUCACUUGGGUGGAAGGCUUCCCAGUGAUAGUGUAGCUGUCUCCUUGAGUCCAGAUGAGGAGUUUGGUUAAGAGGAUGUGUAUGUAUGUACGUUUAUAUGUAUCUAUUUCUUCAGCUCUCUCUAGUAGCCUGGUUCAGGUAUUAGCAGUUUUUGUGGGAUCCUCUUUUAAGUUCUGACAGAAACAGCUCUGUAGAUCCUGGAGAUAUCAUUGUGCAUUUAUUCAUUCAGUAGAUAUUUACUGAGUCCCACUCUAUGCCACACCCUAUCUGCAGCAAAGUGAGUAAGACACCUGUUUUCUGCCCUCACAGAGCUGCCUAAGGAGGAGGCCACUUAAGCAUGUAAGUAUGAUGAAGGGUGAUAAGGGCUGGGGCGAGGGAAGCACAUCACAGGCCCCUGGCCCAGUUUAAUGGGUGUGAGGGCUUGAGUGAGGACCAGGGAAAGAUGACUCAGUAUUAGACAAAGGAGAAGUGUGUGGCCUGGGGGAAGGUAAAGGAGAGCUUGUUCCAGGCAGAGGGAAGGGCUUGUGUGAGGCUGGAGGUUAGAGGAAGCAGGAGAGAAGAAUAGUUAUGGAGGAAAUUGCAAUGGGAGAGAAGUGGAGCAAAGAGCAAAGCGGGGUCUUGGCGCUUCGCACCAACACGGCACUGCAGCCUGGCAGAAAUGGGGACUCGUGGGUUUUUCAGGAGGAGGCGAUGUGAUCAUGUUUGUGUUUUAGAAAGAUUAAUCUGACUGUAAGGUGAAGGAAUGGGCAGCCGGAAGGGAACAUCAAGUGCAGCAUUUUUUAAAUAAUUGAUUUACGGUAUUAAUUUCAUAGUGAUUCAAGAUUUUUAUAGAUUAUACUCCAAAGUUCUUAUAAAAUAUUGGCUAUAUUCCAGGUGCAGCAUUUCUUAAAAGUAAAAUUUUUUAAAGAUCUGGGCCCACCAUAAUUCUUCAUAUUACAUUUAUUGAGCCAGUUCCGUUCCAGUCCUGAGAGGUAUGUAUAUAACCAUCUUUGUGUAAAGUCACUUUAACAGUCAUGAAGAAAUGCUGUGUAGUGCACUUACAGUGUCUGCCAACAACAUGAUGCCCUAUUUCUGUCACACAAAUUAGGGCUCUAUUGGUAGAGCAAUAAUGUUUCUCCUUUGGUGAUAAGAGGUUGGGAAUGUUGGAAAUCCCAAAGCAUUUUGUGAGAUUGUUAGAAAACAAGGCCUGCUUCCUGGAAUGCACAGGUAGGUAUAGGUCUGGUCCAGCCACUUGGCACCAUAUCCCUUCAUCUUACACAUCUCACUGAAAAAGGAAGCUUCAGAGGAGCAUGCACGAUGUCAGAGGUAUCAGGUGAGCACCAAAGGUUAUGGAAGCACAGGAACAUGGGACCACGGGAGUCAGGCCAUCUGGCUACAAGGACCUCUGCCCCACAGCAGGGGAGACCACAAUGGCCUUUCAUCAUCCAUUCCGGCCGGUGAUUAUACACAUGCCCUGCAAAGUAUUCCCAACCACAAUUAGUCACCUCCUACAUUCAAUGAACAUUGAACUUAAGGGCUUUUCAAAGCUAAUUAUCUGGGGUGGGGUUUUUUUGUUUUUUGGGUUUUUUAAAGGCGGAACCAAUGCAAUAACAGGCAUCCAAUCCUAUGAUCCAGACACCAACAAAUAGCCCUUCUCUCUAGACAGGGUCUUGUACACAGGAAAUGGAGCCUCAACAGGGAGGCAGCCUGUUAUAAUGGUUACAAAUUGUUCUUCUGAGGGGGUCGUCUAUAUUCCCAUCUAGGCUAUGCCACUAACUAGUUGUUUGACUUUGGGCAGGUUACUUAACCUAUCUGUGUGUAGCUUCCUCAUCUAAAAAAAAGAGGGAUAAUAACAACACUUCCUUCCUGGGGUUGCUUAGAGGAUUGAAUGAGAUAACGCAGAUAAACUCUUAGUGCCUGGCACAUAGCGGGCACUCAGGGACUGGUAAUUAAGCUGCAGUUGGAAAGAUUCAGAUCAGAAAAGGGAACUUGCUGCCAGGGAAAGCGGUUGUCAAACACAAGGAGGAGCCCUGUGUAGAAUUGCUGUCUCCCCAGGAAGCCUUUAAAGGUGGAGUGGUUUACCUGUCCCGAGGCCUUUUCUGGUGCUUUCCAUUUAGCCCAGAGUUUCAGAAUCUGCUACCUGGGGUAUUCCUUAGAAUUCCAUUGUCUGUAGUGCUACAUGCAGAAAUGGACCAGCAAAAUGAUCUCCCAAUAAACUAGUCUGGAAAAUGAUUUCUCCAAGAAGUGUAUAGGCAGCACAGAAACAGAACUUCUAACCUUCAGCCACAAAGUGAAGUUAGAACUGGCCCUUCGAAUAAGUAGCUCAAGCUAUGAAAAGUUAAAUAAGUUAUAAGCAACUAAAUCAGGGAAUGCAAAGUUUAGUCCAGGGAAAAGUGUAUUUGACCUGACCGAAAUUCAGUGUCCUCGUUCUUGCCACUGACUGGCUUCAUGAUUUAGGACAAAUCACUGAUAAGACGCCUAGGUUGUGACUCCAGCCAUUCAGUGGCUAUUGUGACCUCAGGCAAAUUACCCUCUAAGGGCUUUAGUUUCAUCAUCUGAAAAUAAGGGCAAUAGGAUCAUAAAAUUGUUUGAGGAUUACACAGAUUAAUCUGUGUGAAGCACUUAGAAGAGUGUGGGCUUAGAGGAAAUGCUAUGCAAGUCGAGUUACUCUAUUGUUAUCGCUGUUAAUAAUAGUGGUGGAGCCUCACUCAGUUGCUUCAUCUCCAGAUUCAAGCAAACAACACAGCCCUCGCUUAUGUUAAAGAAGGAACCAGUCUUCUGUGGGGUACUCAUUUAAGGGGGUCUUGCUGUUCACCUUGGACCAUUUAUUUCUCUUCCCUGAUUUCAACACAGGUACUCUUGAGAGGAGUAAGACUUUGAACUGAGCAAGUGGCCGGAGGUUCCCAAAAGAUUUGAGAAUAUGGAGGGUGAGAAGAUGUUCAUAACUAUCCUAGGAUGAGCUUCCUCAGAAGACUGGCACGAAAAUAAAAAGAGAUGAUACAUUGAGAUAUGCUUUCAGAAGAAGAGAGGAAAGAAUAAAUAAUCUGAUAGUAUAUUUCAGUGCUAUUAAGGCUUACUAUUUAUUUCUUUUUUCUUUUUCCCUUUUACUGCUGCACCUGGAGCAUAAGGAAGUUCCCAGGCCAGGGGUUGAGUGGGAGCUGUAGCUGCAGGCCUACACCACAGCCACAGCCAGCCAGAUCUGUGACCUACACUGCACCUUGCAGCAAAGCCAGAUCCUUAACCCACUAAUAAGCAAGGCCAGGGAGUGAACCUGCAUUUUCACGAAGGCUAUGUCGAGUUCUUCACCCACUGAGCCACAGUGGGAACUCCCUACUUAUUUCUUAAUUGGAAGUUGCUGACUAAAGACUGUACAAAAAAGUCUAGGUACAGUAUUGAAGUAUAUAGAAACUAAUUUUCAGACUGUGAAGCCUUAGGCACAUCUUGUUAAAACAGGGGGCAGAAUUCGUUAAAACACUGAUGAAGGGAGUAGGUUUAUCUGAACACUUUUUUGCCAGGGGCAGAGCCUCUCUGGGUCUUCCUGUCUUUCGCUCCCUGGGUGGCUGCGGAAGAGUGCUUGUAGAGAACGUGGCCAGGAUGACUGAUUGCCCGAGGCUUUGGUCCCCAAACUGUGGCUGAAUCCCUCCGGAACAUGGCUGUCCUCGCCAAGUUAAUCUUAAAUAGCUUUCAUGGUCAGGGAAGAUAUCCUUAGGAAAUCUCUGAAAUCUGUUACAAGCUCUGUUCCCCUUUUCCAAUCAAAUGGGGAUUAUCUAGAAUUGGUGGUUUCCUUCAAAUUUCAAAACAAGCAUAGAGGUCCAGGAGCCUGUGAUUUCAGGCUGAGUCUCACUGUUCUGGUUUAUUUGGCACAGAAGGGGAAGCAAAAAUUCACAAGAGCUGGAAAAGAAAGCAUGCAAAAAUUGGAGUGGAGUAACACUGGCUAUCUCUGGACAAGCCAUCUAUCUUAGCAAAAGUCAGCAAAGCUGAAGAGAGACUGUUCCCCUAUACCCACAUUUCUCUUGGCUUUUCAAGCUCUUCUCAAGUCUCCUGGGUGAUUAUGGAGCAGCUGAGGCAUCCUGGGAGGAGGAGAAAGUAUGUGCACCAGGUCUGCUUCAUAAAGCAAGCGGGUCCGCCAAGAGAUCAGGCCAUAUAGUGAUGGCCAUUGUGAGGAGCUCAUCGCUUUCUCAACAGAAAACAAAAUAAGAAAGAGAUGUGGUUCCUGCCUCAAAGAAUAGCUUUCCUUGCUCUAAAGUGGUAGUUUCCAAACUUUAUUAUCAGAAAUUCCUAGCAGUAAAUUAAAAAUAAAAUUGAGGACUUACUAUACACACGUGUGUUUGUGUGAGUGUGUGUGUGUGUGUGUGUGUACUACUGAAUUAAUACACUAUGUGUGUUAUAAAACAGCCAGGGAGUUCCCGUCCUGGCACAGUGGUUAACGAAUCCGACUAGGAACCAUGAGGUUGCGGGUUCGAUCCCUGCCCUUGCUCAACGAUCCGGCGUUGCCUUGAGCUGUGGUGUAGGUCGCAGACGUGGCUCGGAUCCUGCGUUGCUGUGGCUCUGGCGUAGGCUGGCAGCUACAGCUCCGCUUCGACCCCUAGCCCGGCAACCUCCAUAUGCCGCAGGAGCAGCCCAAGAAAUGGCAAAAAAAAAAAAAAAAAAA